rnacentral:rRNA from 1 species
GACGAACGCUGGCGGCGUGCUUAACACAUGCAAGUCGAACGGAAAGGCCCUGCUUUUGUGGGGUGCUCGAGUGGCGAACGGGUGAGUAACACGUGAGUAACCUGCACUUGACUGUGGGAUAACUUCUGGAAACUGGGGCUCAUACCGGAUAGGAGCACCUGCUGCAUGGUGGGGGUUGGAAAGUUUCGGCGGUUGGGGAUGGACUCGCGGCUUAUCAGCUUGUUGGUGGGGUAGUGGCUUACCAAGGCUAUGACGGGUAGCCGGCCUGAGAGGGUGACCGGCCACAUUGGGACUGAGAUACGGCCCAGACGCCUACGGGAGGCAGUAGGGGAGAAUAUUGCACAAUGGGCGGAAGCCUGAUGCAGCAACGCCGCGUGCGGGAUGACGGCCUUCGGGUUGUAAACCGCUUUCGCCUGUGACGAAGCGUGAGUGACGGUAAUGGGUAAAGAAGCACCGGCUAACUACGUG